rnacentral:rRNA from 1 species
AACGUAGGACACAAGCGUUAUCCGGAGUUACUGGGCGUAAAGGGCGCGCAGGCGGGUGAUUAAGUUCGCUAUGAAAGCUCCUGGCUAAACUGGGAGAGGCUGGCGGAUACUGGUCAUCUAGAGUUAGAGAGAGGCAGACAGAAUUCCGCGUGUAGUGGUGAAAUGCGUAGAGAUGCGGAGGAAUACCAGUGGCGAAGGCGGUCUGCUGGCUCUGGACUGACGCUGAGGCGCGAAAGCAUGGGGAGCGAACGGG